rnacentral:rRNA from 1 species
UGACCAGACUCCUACGGGAGGCAGCAGUGGGGAAUAUUGCACAAUGGGGGAAACCCUGAUGCAGCGACGCCGCGUGAGCGAUGAAGUAUUUCGGUAUGUAAAGCUCUAUCAGCAGGGAAGAAAAUGACGGUACCUGACUAAGAAGCCCCGGCUAACUACGUGCCAGCAGCCGCGGUAAUACGUAGGGGGCAAGCGUUAUCCGGAUUUACUGGGUGUAAAGGGAGCGUAGACGGCGGUGCAAGCCAGAUGUGAAAGCCCGGGGCUCAACCCCGGGACUGCAUUUGGAACUGUGCUGCUAGAGUGUCGGAGAGGCAGGCGGAAUUCCUAGUGUAGCGGUGAAGUGCGUAGAUAUCAGGAGGAACACCGGUGGCGAAGGCGACCUGCUGGAACAUUACUGACGCUGAUGCACGAAAGCGUGGGGAGCAAACAGGAUUAGAUACCCUAGUA